rnacentral:rRNA from 1 species
AGAGUUUGAUCCUGGCUCAGGACGAACGCUGGCGGCGUGCCUAACACAUGCAAGUCGAACGGAGAUAUCUGAAGAGCAAUCAGAGGAUAUUUUAGUGGCGAACGGGUGAGUAACGCGUGAGUAACCCGUCCAUUUGAGGGGGAUAACAACGAGAAAUCGUUGCUAAUACCGCAUAAGACCACAUUGCCGCAUGGCAGAGAGGUCAAAGGAGCAAUCCGCAGAUGGAGGGGCUCGCGUCCCAUUAGAUAGUUGGUGAGGUAACGGCUCACCAAGUCAGCGAUGGGUAGCCGAGCUGAGAGGCUGAUCGGCCACACUGGAACUGAGACACGGUCCAGACUCCUACGGGAGGCAGCAGUGGGGAAUAUUGGGCAAUGGGCGCAAGCCUGACCCAGCAACGCCGCGUGAGGGAAGAAGGUUUUCGGAUUGUAAACCUCUGUCCCGGGGGACGAAAAAAAUGACGGUACCCCGGGAGGAAGCCCCGGCUAACUACGUGCCAGCAGCCGCGGUAAUACGUAGGGGGCAAGCGUUGUCCGGAAUUACUGGGCGUAAAGGGUGCGUAGGCGGCAUGUUAAGUUGGAUGUGAAAUACCUGGGCUCAACCUGGGGGGUGCAUCCAAAACUGGCAAGCUAGAGUGCAGGAGAGGAAAGCGGAAUUCCUAGUGUAGCGGUGAAAUGCGUAGAUAUUAGGAGGAACACCCGUGGCGAAGGCGGCUUUCUGGACUGUAACUGACGCUGAGGCACGAAAGCGUGGGGGAGCAAACAGGAUUAGAUACCCUGGUAGUCCACGCUGUAAACGAUGAAUACUAGGUGUCGGGGGUCAAGCCCGGUGCCGCAGCUAACGCGUUAAGUAUUCCGCCNGGGGAGUACGGUC